GUCCGCCGGCUCCGGCCCCGAACUCCCGCCUCCGCUUCAAACUCACCAGAAAAAAAACGCUGCACUUCGUCUGCUGAGCAAGACCAAGGCAAGCCCCGGACCUUCACCACGAAUCCCUCUCCGCCUUCGGUGCCCAACAUCAUUGUCUCUUAUACACAUCUCAGAGCCCA